rnacentral:tRNA from 1 species
GCCAACGUGGCGGAACUGGUAGACGCCGCGCUACAGCGCGCCCGGUAGCGGGUGCAGGUUCAACCCCUGUCGUUGGCA